UACGUAGGGGGCUAGCGUUGUCCGGAAUCAUUGGGCGUAAAGAGCGUGUAGGCGGCCCGGUAAGUCCGCUGUGAAAGUCGGGGGCUCAACCCUCGAAUGCCGGUGGAUACUGUCGGGCUAGAGUGCGGGAGAGGCGAGUGGAAUUCCUGGUGUAGCGGUGAAAUGCGCAGAUAUCAGGAGGAACACCGAUUGCGAAGGCAGCUCGCUGGGACGUUACUGACGCUGAGACGCGAAAGCGUGGGGAGCAAACAGG
rnacentral:rRNA from 1 species